rnacentral:ncRNA from 1 species
CACGUAUGUGGCAAAAUACGGGGAUGACUUGUGGCUAGGGGUGAAAGGCCAACCAAGAUCGGAUAUAGCUGGUUUUCCGCGAAAUCUAUUUCAGUAGAGCGUAUGAUGUCGAUGGCCCGAGGUAGAGCACUCAAUGGGCUAGGGUGGCCCCCCUUUCGCUUUACCAACCCCAGGGAAACUCCGAAUACAGGCCGUCAUCCUUAGUACAGACAGACUGAUUGGGUGCUAAGAUCCAAAGUCGAGAGGGAAACAGCCCAGAUCGUACGCUAAGGUCCCUAAGCAAUCACUUAGUGGAAAAGGA